CAAAGCGUGGGCCGAAGGUUGGGUCGCGCCGCUGCCGUCGAAGCACAAGACCGGCAAGAAGGUCGCGGUGGUCGGUUCCGGCCCCGCCGGUUUGGCC
rnacentral:tRNA from 1 species